GGGCUUGUAGCUCAGUUGGUUAGAGCGCUACCUUGACACGGUAGAGGUCUCCGGUUCGAGUCCGGGCAAGCCCACCA
rnacentral:tRNA from 1 species